CACGUAGUUAGCCGGGGCUUUCUUCUCAGGUACCGUCACUCCGAUAGCAGUUACUCUAUCGGACGUUCUUCCCUGGCAGCAGAGCUUUACGAUCCGAAAACCUUCAUCACUCACGCGGCGUUGCUCCGUCAGACUUGCGCCCAUUGCGGAAGAUUCCCUACUGCUGCCUCCCGUAGGAGUCUGGGCCGUGUCUCAGUCCCAGUGUGGCCGAUCACCUCUCAGGUCGGCUACGCAUCGUCGCCUUGGUGAGCCGUUACCUCACCAACUAGCUAAUGCGCCGCAGGCCCAUCCUCAAGUGACAGAUUGCUCCGUCUUUCCAAAUUCGUUCAGGCGAACAAAUCAUGUAUUCGGUAUUAGCUACGUUUCGUAGUUGUCCAAGCUUGAGGGCAGGUUGCCUAGUGUUACUCACCGUCCGCCGCUAAGCAUCAAAGAAGCAAGCUUCUCAUCCAACUCCGCUCGACUUGCAUGUAUUAGCUACGCCGCCACG
rnacentral:rRNA from 1 species